CGAAUCAAGCUUAUGGGACACUGGACUACAGGUUGCUGCCACUACUCCAUGUGCCCGCAAUUGUCUUGCGUGUAUGAUUACACUAACGACGUCGCCCACCACGGCGGAAGUGUUUUGCGUACACGCGUUUCAGCAUGAAGCCUGCAGGUGGACGUAAAUUGUAGAAGGCAGCUAGUGGGGGAGAAGAUCAUGGUCAUAGGUCAUAUGGCUCCUGGAGCUCCCAGUGGGCUCCCUUGUGGAGUACUUUUCAGAACACACACACAGUUCGCUCACAGAACCAACGAGUAGGAUGUUGCUUGAAUACUGAGAGAAAAUGGCGUAACACAUACAAAUAUCGUGUGACACAUAUGACAACAAAAACAUUUUUCACGAGGGAUGCAUGAAACACUGUCGCAAUAUUGUGUGCAUGAACCAUUGUGUGUGACACAAGCCGUGGGGGCACACCGCCUCGGACACAUUUUGGAAAGCAUAAAACACAGUAUAUACACAGCUAAUGUGGUGGAUGCUUCUUUUUUC